GAUGAAGAACGUAGCGAAAUGCGAUAAGUAAUGUGAAUUGCAGAAUUCAGUGAAUCAUCGAAUAUUUGAACGCACAUUGCGCCCCCUGGUAUUCCGGGGAGCAUGCCUGUCCGAGCGUCAUUACAACCCUCAAGCUCAGCUUGGUGUUGGGCCCCGCCGCCCCGGCGGGCCCUAAAGUCAGUGGCGGUGCCGUCCGGCUCCGAGCGUAGUAAUUCUUCUCGCUCUGGAGGUCCGGUCGUGUGCUCGCCAGCAACCCCCAAUUUUUUUCAGGUUGACCUCGGAUCAGGUAGGGAUACCCGCUGAACUUAAGCAUAUCAAUAAGCGGAGGA
rnacentral:misc_RNA from 1 species